AUUGAACGCUGGCGGCAGGCCUAACACAUGCAAGUCGAACGGUAACAGGAAACAGCUUGCUGUUUCGCUGACGAGUGGCGGACGGGUGAGUAAUGUCUGGGAAACUGCCUGAUGGAGGGGGAUAACUACUGGAAACGGUAGCUAAUACCGCAUAACGUCGCAAGACCAAAGAGGGGGACCCUCGGGCCUCUUGCCAUCGGAUGUGCCCAGAUGGGAUUAGCUUGUUAGUGGGGUAACGGCUCACCAAGGCGACGAUCCCUAGCUGGUCUGAGAGGAUGACCAGCCACACUGGAACUGAGACACGGUCCAGACUCCUACGGGAGGCAGCAGUGGGGAAUAUUGCACAAUGGGCGCAAGCCUGAUGCAGCCAUGCCGCGUGUAUGAAGAAGGCCUUCGGGUUGUAAAGUACUUUCAGCGGGGAGGAAGGGAGUAAAGUUAAUACCUUUGCUCAUUGACGUUACCCGCAGAAGAAGCACCGGCUAACUCCGUG
rnacentral:rRNA from 1 species